AUCUUAUCGAGAGAGGUGGAGGGACUGGCCCCAUGAAGCCUCAGCAACCGGCAAAUCGCCAUGGUGCUAAAUCCAGCAAGCAGAAGCUUGAUAGAUGAGGA
rnacentral:ncRNA from 2 species